GCAUCAUGGCACCAAUGACCAGAACGCAAAGGGAUCCUAUCUCGGUAACCAUGGUGAAGAGACAGUGACGGGAUCUCAUCACCAUAGUCAAGUCUCCCUGAGGACAUUGCGGUUUGAGGACCAUAAUGCCACUGCCUUGAGCGUGAAGGUGCCUCAUCAUACUUCUUCCUAGAUAAAGAAGGGAUCUCAUCGCCAUACUGCAGGCCUCUUGGUACUGAAGGUGCCUCAUCAUACUUCUUCCUAGAUAAAGAAGGGAUCUCAUCGCCAUACUGCAGGCCUCUUGGUACUGAAGGUGCCUCAUCAUACUUCUUUCUAGAUAAAGAAGGGAUCUCAUCCUCAAAGCACCAUUGACACGGAGCAGGAUUGAUCUCAUCUGCAUAGCGGGACCCUCUGGCAUAUUCAACCAUCUGUUUCAAUGAGAACUUGUCAUGAUGAAUUAUGGAUACACAGAAAAAGGUUAAUUGUUAUACUUGCGUCAGAUGAAAACACAGGCAUAAGUUG
rnacentral:lncRNA from 1 species